CCUACGGGUGGCAGCAGUGAGGAAUAUUGGUCAAUGGUCGUAAGCCUGAACCAGCCAAGUAGCGUGCGGGAUGAAGGCCCUACGGGUCGUAAACCGCUUUUACGCGGGGAUAACACCCUCCACGUGUGGUGUUCUGCAGGUACCGUACGAAUAAGGGCCGGCUAAUUCCGUGCCAGCAGCCGCGGUAAUACGGAAGGCCCGGGCGUUAUCCGGAUUAAUUGGGCUUAAAGGGAGCGUAGGCGGGUGUUAAAGUGUGCGGUAAAAUCGCGGGGCUCAACCAGGCCCCGCAGCGGAAACUGGGUGGCAUGAGUUCGCAGAAGGCAGGCGGAAUUCGUGGUGUAGCGGUGAAAUGCAUAGAUAUCACGAGGAACCCCGAUUGCGAAGGCAGCAUGCGGCGGCGCGACUGACGCUGAGGCUCGAAGGCGCGGGUAUCGAACAGGAUUAGAUACCCUGGUAGUC
rnacentral:rRNA from 1 species